GACGAACGCUGGCGGCGUGCCUAAUACAUGCAAGUAGAACGCUGAAGAGAGGAGCUUACUCUUCUUGGAUGAGUUGCGAACGGGUGAGUAACGCGUAGGUAACCUGCCUUGUAGCGGGGGAUAACUAUUGGAAACGAUAGCUAAUACCGCAUAACAAUGGAUGACACAUGUCAUUUAUUUGAAAGGGGCAAUUGCUCCACUACAAGAUGGACUUGCGUUGUAUUAGCUAGUAGGUGAGGUAAUGGCUCACCUAGGCGACGAUACAUAGCCGACCUGAGAGGGUGAUCGGCCACACUGGGACUGAGACACGGCCCAGACUCCUACGGGAGGCAGCAGUAAGGAAUCUUCGGCAAUGGGGGCAACCCUGACCGAGCAACGCCGCGUGAGUGGAGAAGGUUUUCGGAUCGUAAAGCUCUGUUGUAAGUCAAGAACGGGUGUUGGAGUGGAAUGUUCACACUUUGACGGUAGCUUACCAGAAAGGGACGGCUAACUACGUG
rnacentral:rRNA from 1 species